GAUGAACGCUGGCGGCGUGCCUAAUACAUGCAAGUCGAGCGAACAGAUGAGGAGCUUGCUCCUCUGACGUUAGCGGCGGACGGGUGAGUAACACGUGGAUAACCUACCUAUAAGACUGGGAUAACUUCGGGAAACCGGAGCUAAUACCGGAUAAUAUAUUGAACCGCAUGGUUCAAUAGUGAAAGACGGUUUUGCUGUCACUUAUAGAUGGAUCCGCGCCGCAUUAGCUAGUUGGUAAGGUAACGGCUUACCAAGGCAACGAUGCGUAGCCGACCUGAGAGGGUGAGCGGCCACACUGGAACGGAGACACGGUCCAGCCUCCGACGGGAGGAAGAGGAAGGGACUCUUCCGCAAGGGGCAAAAGCCGGAGGGGGCAACGCCGCGGGAGUGAAAAAGGUGUUGGGACCGUAAAACUCUGUUAUUAGGAAAAAAAAAAUGUGAAAGAAACUAUGCACGUCUUAAGGGUACCUAAUAAGAAAGCCACGGCUAACUACGGC
rnacentral:rRNA from 1 species